UCACAUAUAUUGAGUGCCAAAAUUUUCAGCGAGGUAAUAUUAACUCUGGGGAGUUCCAGAACAGUAUUGGAAUUUCUUUGUGCUGCUAAGGAGAAGAAAAGGUCCUUCCGGGUGUUUGUUGCUGAGGGUGCUCCAAGAUAUCAGGGUCAUCUUCUUGCUAAGGAGUUGGUUACAAGAGGUUUACAGACCACACUUAUUACUGAUUCUGCAGUUUUUGCCAUGAUCUCCCGGGUGAACAUGGUAAUAGUUGGAGCUCAUGCUGUCAUGGCAAAUGGUGGUGUCAUGGCACCUGUUGGUUUGAAUAUGGUGGCCCUUGCAGCUAAAAGGCAUGCUGUUCCUUUUGUCGUUCUAGCUGGAAGUCACAAGGUAAUGUUAUGAAUUAGUCUUGUUUCAAAUUUGAAUUUUGGUAAAAUAUUUAGCAACCGAGCAUUUUCACCUCCAAAUUGUUUCAAAGUUACAAAAGGGAUAUGUCAUCCAUGUUUACAAAAAAAAAAAAAAAAA